rnacentral:rRNA from 1 species
GCCGGGGCUUCUUAGUCAGGUACUGUCACUAUCUUCCCUGCUGAUAGAAGUUUACGAUCCGAAAACCUUCAUCCUUCACGCGGCGUCGCUGCAUCAGGGUUUCCCCCAUUGUGCAAUAUUCCCC